AUACAGAGGGUGCAAGCGUUAAUCGGAAUUACUGGGCGUAAAGCGCGCGUAGGUGGUUAGUUAAGUUGGAUGUGAAAGCCCUGGGCUCAACCUGGGAAUGGCAUUCAAAACUGGCUGACUAGAGUAUGGUAGAGGGAAGGGGAAUUCCAGGUGUAGCGGUGAAAUGCGUAGAUAUCUGGAGGAACAUCAGUGGCGAAGGCGCCUUCCUGGACUAAUACUGACACUGAGGUGCGAAAGCGUGGGUAGCAAACAGGAUUAGAAACCCGAGUAGUCC
rnacentral:rRNA from 1 species